CAGCCGCCGCGGUAAUGCGUAGGUGGCAAGCGUUGUCCGGAAUUAUUGGGCGUAAAGGGCUCGCAGGCGGUUUCUUAAGUCUGAUGUGAAAGCCCCCGGCUCAACCGGGGAGGGUCAUUGGAAGCUGGGAAACUUGAGUGCAGAAGAGGAGAGUGGAAUUCCACGUGUAGCGGUGAAAUGCGUAGAGAUGUGGAGGAACACCAGUGGCGAAGGCGACUCUCUGGUCUGUAACUGACGCUGAGGAGCGAAAGCGUGGGGAGCGAACAGGGUUAGAUACCCCCGUAGUCCCUGUCUCUUAUAC
rnacentral:rRNA from 1 species